AUUGAACGCUGGCGGCAUGCCUAACACAUGCAAGUCGAACGAGUGGCGGACGGGUGAGUAAUGUCUGGGAACCUGCCUGAUGGCGGGGGAUAACUACUGGAAACGGUGGCUAAUACCGCAUACCAUCGGAUGUGCCCAUAUGGGAUUAGCUAGUGGGUGGGGUAAAGGCUCACCUAGGCGACGAUCCCUAGCUGGUCUGAGAGGAUGACCAGCCACACUGGAACUGAGACACGGCCCAGACUCCUACGGGAGGCAGCAGUGGGGAAUAUUGGACAAUGGGGGCAAGCCUGAUGCAGCCAUGCCGCGUGUAUGAAGAAGGCCUUCGGGUUGUAAAGUACUUUUGGCAGGGAGGCGUUACCUGCAGAAGAAGCACCGGCUAACUCCGUGCCAGCCGCCGCGGUAAUAC
rnacentral:rRNA from 1 species